AACGAACGCUGGCGGCGUGCCUAACACAUGCAAGUCGUGCGAGAAAGUUCCUUCGGGAGCGAGUAAAGCGGCGCACGGGUGAGUAACACGUAGGUAACCUGCCCCCCAGUCUGGAACAACUAGAGGAAACUCUAGCUAAUGCCGGAUGAGACCACGAUCCCUUCGGGGGUUGCGGCCAAAAGAUGGCCUCUACUUGUAAGCUAUCGCUGAGGGAUGGGCCUGCGGGCCAUUAGCUUGUUGGUGAGGUAACGGCUCACCAAGGCUGUGAUGGCUAGCUGGUCUGAGAGGAUGACCAGCCACACUGGGACUGAGACACGGCCCAGACUCCUACGGGAGCAGCAGUGGGAAUAUUGCGCAAUGGGCGAAAGCCUGACGCAGCGACGCCGCGU
rnacentral:rRNA from 1 species